rnacentral:rRNA from 1 species
UACGUAGGGCGCAAGCGUUGUCCGGAUUUAUUGGGCGUAAAGAGCUCGUAGGCGGCCUGUCGCGUCGACCGUGAAAACCCGCAGCUCAACUGCGGGCUUGCGGUCGAUACGGGCAGGCUCGAGUUCGGUAGGGGAGACUGGAAUUCCUGGUGUAGCGGUGAAAUGCGCAGAUAUCAGGAGGAACACCGGUGGCGAAGGCGGGUCUCUGGGCCGAUACUGACGCUGAGGAGCGAAAGCGUGGGGAGCGAACAGG